CUGGGGUGAGGGCACGGGUGUGCUCUUGGCGCUGCCGGCCCCAGUGUGCGGCAGUCGUCGCCCCCAGCCCAGCCCCCGACCCCCGUCUCCUCCUCUCCUUUCCAGGAGGGCCUUUCAGACUCACGCUCUGGGCACGGCAGAGGUCCUGACGGCCCCCUUGGCGGGGCUGGUCCAGGCUUCAGGCUGGUUUGGGAGCCGCCUCUGUCGGGCCUCUGGCCCCCGGUGUCCUGGCAGUCCUGGAGGUUGUGUCCUAGAAGCGAGCCCCUUCCUCCUGGGCCGGCCUGCGGCAGGCAAGCAGCCCAUCUCACCACGGUUUAUUUCCCCACAGACUCCGUGGGAAGGAGGCUGAGGCAGUAGAAGCACUUGAACCCAGGAGGCAGGUGCAGUGAGCCAAGAUCACACCAUUACACUCCAGCCUGGACAGCAGAGCAAGACCUUGUCUC
rnacentral:sRNA from 1 species